rnacentral:rRNA from 1 species
GAUCAUGGCUCAGGAUGAACGCUAGCUACAGGCUUAACACAUGCAAGUCGAGGGGCAUCAGGGUGUAGCAAUACACCGCUGGCGACCGGCGCACGGGUGAGUAACACGUAUCCAACCUGCCCUUUACUCGGGGAUAGCCUUUCGAAAGAAAGAUUGAUACCCGAUGGCAUAAUAUGACCUCCUGGUUUUGUUAUUAAAGAAUUUCGGUAGAGGAUGGGGAUGCGUUCCAUUAGGCAGUUGGCGGGG